rnacentral:rRNA from 1 species
GACGAACGCUGGCGGCGUGCUUAACACAUGCAAGUCGAACGGAAAGGCCCCUUUGGGGGUACUCGAGUGGCGAACGGGUGAGUAACACGUGAGUAACCUGCCCUUGACUUCGGGAUAACUUCAGGAAACUGGGGCUAAUACCGGAUAGGAAUCCUUGCUGCAUGGUGGGGGUUGGAAAGCUUCGGCGGUUUUGGAUGGACUCGCGGCUUAUCAGCUUGUUGGUGGGGUAGUGGCUUACCAAGGCUUUGACGGGUAGCCGGCCUGAGAGGGCGACCGGCCACAUUGGGACUGAGAUACGGCCCAGGCUCCUACGGGAGGCAGCAGUGGGGAAUAUUGCACAAUGGGCGGAAGCCGGAUGCAGCAACGCCGCGUGCGGGAUGACGGCCUUCGGGUUGUAAACCGCUUUCAGCAGGGGCGAAGCUUGUGGUGACGGUACCUGCAGAAGAAGCACCGGCUAACUACGUG